GACGAGCGCUGGCGGCGUGCUUAACACAUGCAAGUCGAACGGAAAGGCCCUGCUUUUGUGGGGUGCUCGAGUGGCGAACGGGUGAGUAACACGUGAGUAACCUGCCCUUGACUUUGGGAUAACUUCAGGAAACUGGGGCUAAUACCGGAUAGGAGCUCCUGCUGCAUGGUGGGGGUUGGAAAGUUUCGGCGGUUGGGGAUGGACUCGCGGCUUAUCAGCUUGUUGGUGGGGUAGUGGCUUACCAAGGCUUUGACGGGUAGCCGGCCUGAGAGGGUGACCGGCCACAUUGGGACUAAGGUACGGCCCAGACUCCUACGGGCGGCAGCAGUGGGGAAUAUUGCACAAUGGGCGGAAGCCUGAUGCAGCAACGCCGCGUGCGGGAUGACGGCCUUCGGGUUGUAAACCGCUUUCGCCUGUGACGCAGCGUGAGUGACGGUAAUGGGUAAAGAAGCACCGGCUAACUACGUG
rnacentral:rRNA from 1 species